AGCUCCAAUAGCGUAUAUUAAAGUUGUUGCAGUUAAAAAGCUCGUAGUUGGAUUUUGGGUCGAGCCGAUCGGCCCGCCGCAAGGUGUGUGUUGAUCGGUUCUUCCUUCCUCUCGAAGACUGCACGUGCCCUUAACUGGGUGUGUGUCAGGAUUCGGGACUUUUACUUUGAAAAAAUUAGAGUGUUCAAAGCAGGCCUUCGCUUGAAUACAUUAGCAUGGAAUAAUGAAAUAGGACGUCGGUUCUAUUUUGUUGGUUUCUAGGACCGAAGUAAUGAUUAAUAGGGAUAGUUGGGGGCAUUAAUAUUUAAUUGUCAGAGGUGAAAUUCUUGGAUUUAUGAAAGAUUAACUUCUGCGAAAGCAUUUGCCAAGGAUGUUUUCA
rnacentral:rRNA from 1 species